rnacentral:rRNA from 1 species
GCGCAGCAGGCGAGAAUAGUCUACAAUGGACGAAAGUCUGAUAGUGCGACGCCGUGUGUGCGAUUAAUUCCUUCGGGAUGUAAAGCACUUUUCUAUGAGAUAAAAGCUCUUUAGGUUAAUAGCUUAUUGAGACGGAUAUUAUUAUAGGAAUAAGCUCCGGCUAACUCCGUGCCAGCAGCCGCGGUAAUACGGAAGGAGCGAGCGUUGUCCGGAUUUACUAGGCGUAAAGGGCUAGUAGGCGACUAAUUAAGUUAUAUGUUAAAUCCCACGGCUCAACUGUGGUCCUGCAUGUAAUACUGGUUAGAUAGAGUACUGUAGAGGAAGGCAGAAUUCCUGGAGUAGCGGUGGAAUGCGCAGAUAUCAGGAAGAAUAACCAAAAGCGAAGGCAGCCUUCUGGGCAGUUACUGACGCUGAAUAGCGAAGGUGUGGGUAGCGAACAGGAUUAGAUACCCCCCGUAGU